UCCGAUAUGGUGUAGUGGCCAACAUGAUGCCCUCUCAACGACUUGAGAGGUUAGGCAUAGCCCCGAGUUCGAUUCUCGGUUUCGGAA